UAAAGCCAAAGACGGAAGAAAGUACAAAAGAAAAAAUACGAAGAAAGAAGAAAGAAGAAAGAAAAUGUUUAUCAUCUCCGUGAUUUUGAUGGCGUUGACACUGAUACCAAUCAUCAAGGUUUCGGCGACAAGCAUCCUCAAAGUAUCCACGUUGAUGGUGACAAACACCUUGAGAGUUUCCAGAACGUCGUUGGGACAAAUCAUCAUCAACCUUGUCAUCUUUUACUUUCUCUAUUAUAUCUAGUGUUCUGACUGACUAUAUAUAUAUAUUUAUUCUUAUUAUAUCUGUAUAUAUAUUUUACAAAUUCUAUUUGCUAUAGAGAUUGCAGGUUCGAAACUCAUGAACCGAGAUGGGUGAUAAAUUGGAUUCUGGGAGAGCGCGCUCUAAUUCACUCCGAUCGCCCUUGUUAGAUUUCACUCUGAUCGCCAUUUGAUCAGCAAGGUGGUGGGAUAAAUCCUGACUCUCUUUGCUUCUUUCUUUUGGGUCACAAGAACUGGAUUCUGGGUUUGUAGCUAGUGGUGUGUUGUUGGAUCUUGAAUUGCCUAUCCUUUGCAUCGUGGUGUUUUCCCAAUAAACUCUCUUCUUCUUCUUUUUCCAGAGACGUGAGGACCAUGGGAAAGGCUUCACCCCAUUGUUGUUGGAUCUUCUCUCGUAACUUCUUUAUCCCCUGUUUGGAAGCUUAAUUUUUUCUAGGAAUUCCAAUGUAAAUCUGUUAUGAGAGAUUAUGAGGAAAGAUAUUAUUUUUUAUCUUUGUUUCUCUGCUUUGUGGCCUAUUGAAAGGUUUGUUAAGACUUGUG
rnacentral:lncRNA from 1 species